rnacentral:rRNA from 1 species
AGGUUUUAUCAUACCGGCACUAAUGCACCGGAUCCCAUCAGAACUCUGUAGUGAAACGUGCCUGGGCCAGAGUAGUACUAUGAUUGGUGACCUCCUGGGAAGUCCUCGUGUUGCACUUC